rnacentral:tRNA from 1 species
AGCUUUUUAGUUUAUUUUAAAAUUCUUACUUGUGGUGUAAGAGAAUAUUUGGCUU